AUGCUCAGUUGCUCAGCACACAUACUAAAAUUUGAACAGUGAGAAGAUUAGCAUGACCCUUGCACAAGGAUGACACACAAAAAACUAAUGUUCCAUCAUUGCAAAUCUUU
ensembl:snRNA U6 U6 spliceosomal RNA